rnacentral:lncRNA from 1 species
AAAACUAGGGUUUCUAGAACAUUAGGUGCGGCAUGGGCUUAGGGCUAGGGUAAGUAAUCAGAUUUUUUUCAUGUGACCAAGGCCUAGGUGCGGCUGAUUAAGUGGGCUAGGGUUAGGGUUAGGUGCGGCAUAGGUCCAAGAGGCAAAGAUGGGUCAUCCAAAAGCCCAAAGCCGAGAAUAGAAACUCUCGAAAUUGGAAACCUCCAAGAAUAGAAACUUCCAACUUUAGAAACUUUGGUUUCCAAUUCCGAAUUCUUAAUUCAUCACUUUCAUUUCUUCAUUCUUAAGCUUCUUUGACCUUCAAACUCGUCCAUUCCUCGUGCUCCAUUUGCAUACACCACAUUCCAGCUCACUUUUUUCUCCAAAAGCUCCAAAUUGCAUCAUUUCGUGUAAUAUGUCCUUUAACCCUGAAAACACAUGAAAGUAGCUUAAAAGACUACUUUGACGAAGAAAACAUAACAACAAUGCAUAAGAACUAGCUAACUAAGGCGCAUAAAUAUGCUCCUAUCAUUAGGAGGUUCUUCUCCACACAUGACACACUUGCAAACAAAACGAUUUUCAGUUGUUCUCCCAAUAAAUUAUGAAACUCAACACACCAAGUUAAUUAGAUACGCUUAAAUUAACCUUCAAGUUCUCCUAAAGUUAAUGAAUUGGAUGGGAAAGCGCAUACAACAAUUCAAGCAUUCCUUAAAGGUUCCUUACGUGAUGAGCACAAUAAAGAUACAAUCAAGAAUCAUGAAGCACAAUGAGAACUAUAAGUGUUGACGAGGCAUUCGUUACUAUGAUGAGCAUGAAACUAGUGCCAAGAAUUCAUUCAACGCGAUCGUUUUCAAGCGACCUUCACUACUUGUGAUUAUAAGAUUGUAACUAUUAGGUGAAACUCCCUCAUAAUCUAGCAUCAUAUUCAUGCAUGAAAACUAAGCGUGCACUCUCAAUCAACACAUACACAAAUAAGUUAUCAAUCAAGUAGAUGAACGAAUUGAAUCCACAACUUAUGAAAUAACAACUGAAUGUAAUCAAAUCAUAUUGCAAGCAUGUACAUGGUUUCGAAUCACCCCCCAACUAAGGGGGUUUAGUUCCUCAUACUCACAACACAAAGUUUAUUGAAUUGAAACAUUGAAAACAUAAGAAAGAUCACACCUAAAAAUUCCAGCAAUCUAAAUUGCACAGCAGGAACGUCUAAGAACCUUCCUCCUCUUCCUUGGUUGCGGCCCAGGGGUUUGUGAUGGUUUUUGGGGGUUAUGGAUGGUGUGGAAUGGUGGAAAAGUGUGUAGGAUAGGUGUAUGGGACGGCUAGGGUGGUUUUGGGUCAGAAAAUAUGGUGAAUGAUGAAGGAUAGGUGCUGUUGAAGAUGGAGAAUGGUUUCUGGCGUGAAGGAUUAUUUUCUGGAUGAAUGGUCGAAAAUUGGGUGAAUGAGUGAUCCCCCCUAGUGCCUUGCUGCAAAUCCUUAUUUAUAGGGCUAGGAAAGGUUUAGAACUUAGUUGAAACCAAAAGGUUUUGUACCAGAAAUUAGGCAGAAAUUAGGCACCAUGUGUGAAUAGGUAAAGCCUUCUAGAAAUAAGGUUUUGUACUAGAAAUUAGGCAGAAAUUAGGCACCAUGUGUGAAUAGGUAAAGCCUUCUAGAAGGAAUGCUUAUAUGGCUGAUUUCUAGAAGAACAAGGUCUAAAAACAUGUGGCACUAAUGUAGCCUUCUAGAAAUCAGGUUUUUUAGGCCCCCUUGCAGCUCCCUAACUGAAUUCAAGCCUUUCAAAUUCGUCCAUCCAUGAGCCUCCAUGCUUGCACUAUCCAAUCUUGGCCCAAAAAUGCUCUAGAAUGCUCCAAAUUGCUUCUUUUUGCAUACUUUGACACUAAAACCUUGUUCAAGUAGGAAUCAUCAUCUUCAAGCCUUCAAAUUUGUCCAAACCUUGGCUCCAAAUAUGUGACAUGCAUUCCAAACUCCAUUUUGCUUCUUUUUGCACACUUUGACCUUAGAACCUGAAAACACACAAAAGUGACUUUAAACACUAAAAUAGCUAAGUAAACACAACCUAAAUGCACGAGAACAAGCCAAUUAAGUAGCAUAAAUAUGCUCCUAUCAUUCAUAGUAACGAAUGCUUCGUCAAUGCUUAUGUUUUUCAUAGAACGUAAUGAUUCUUGCUUGUUUCUCU